ensembl:snoRNA
CUUCCACCAUUGCAGAUAGGGAUAAAGAAGCUUCCUCAUGCUUUCUGUCUGCCUGAUUGUGGCAGCCAAGAUUGAAUGAGGCAGAUCA